CAACCGGUAAUUAACAGCUUCUAAUUACGUGGUUAAGAAACGAUUAAGACGAUAACUGAUAGUGUUUAAGGCACGAGUUAACCCAAUUAGGCUUUUGUAAAUGCCUAGGAACGCCUAAUCGACUUUAUAGUACGCGGAUGAUAAACUGCGGAGAAACAGCGUAACGAUAAUCGAUAACGAAUAGAAACCGUGCGAAAUAUUGACAACGCCGACAAAUACAAAUUUUAUAUGCGUAUUUUAUACUCAUAAGUUUAGUUUUGUGAAUUUAUUGUGCUUUCGUACGUCACAAAGCGCGAACGCGAACAAAAAACGCGACUGCAGGAACGCACCGGCAACGAAACAGAAGCAUCAAACAUGCGUAUUACUUCCAAAACUGAAAUUUUAUGAUAUAACUAGCUUCGUAAUUAAAUUUUAAUAUCCGUAGUAGAAACCAUAUCAAAAAACGGAUUAAAAUGGCAAUGGCGCGAUUUCAUGCGAUUUUUACAGUAAUCAGUGAACGAACACGACAAACGGCUACCGGUACUACUUUACGUAUUUUUUUUAAAACUAAAAUUUAUAAAUUACGAAGUUUCGCGGAGCUUGGGUUUUGAUAACGGUCUCGUAGGAAUUACGGGCCACUUAAACACGGGGAUUGGGCUUGUGGGCCUUGGGCCCAAGCCCAAAGCCCAUUAAACUAACCCUAGUAUAUAUUUGUAGCUACAACCUUAUCCUUCAUUUGAAACCACAAAACUAAAUCACGCACACAAUCUGCUCUCUUUCAUCUUCAAGUUGAAGAAACCCUAAUCCUCUAAUUCCCUUUCUCUUGAUUAUGCCUACAAUUGCACACAGACAAAUUAUGUCUGAUCUAUCAUCUACACCUAAAUAAAAACCUCAUCACCAUCAUCCUUACAAAACCUUCUUUUUCUUUGCCACUUUCUCUCGAAUUACAUACAGACAAACACACACAUACUCUACUAAAACUCCCUUCACCAUCUUUAAAAAAAAAAAGAUAUUAACUCCACUCUCACAUACCCUCUCUCUCUCGUGAUGCUCCUGGUCGACGAUGAUCGGAGCUUGUUAACCGCCGGCUGUCGGCGGUGUUACCAGCCGACAACACCCUCCCUCCCUCCUGUUGAUUUUCUCCGGCGAACACUCAGGUCACUCCGGUGACUAACCCACUUGUUCCGGCUCCCCACUCGAAGCAGAAACAACUGCCACCACCCUCGUUGGUGGCACACGGCGACGGUACACGAAGAGAUAGAGAGAAAGGGGCAAGCGGUGGAGGUUGACGACGACUUUAAUUUCUUUCGACAUGCUCACUGCUGGAAAAGGUGAUGUCUUCAGUGGUGGUGUUCACGGAAUAACAAAACCGCCACGCGGUGGCAGCCGGUGACGGCAGUGGUGGUGGUGGUUAUAUUGAUUCAGGUGACUCGGGUCAGUUUCACGUUCAGAUUCGAUUCUAAUUUAGUUCGGGUUUUGUUUGGAUGGAAUUCGGGUUUAAACUCAUCAGUUCAGGUGUGAUGUUUGGUUUUAGUUUCAGUUCGGGUCACGGGUCGAGACGCGGGUUCGAGUCAGCGGGUCAAACCCGGUCGACUCGGGUCAAACCGAGUAGACUCGGGUCAACAACAGGCGCAACGGAUCAGGGCGUGGUUAGUUUGGGCAGAUUUCUCCAAUUUGAGCUUCGCGACACGAACGGUUCGAAAUUAAAGUCACAUUUUUGGUUCGGGUCCCAGUCAACAUCAUGUCAACGUGAGGUCAAACGCAGUCGACUCGAAGACCCGGUAACAAAUUUAAUCAAAGCGAGUUAGUAUACGUUAGUUAGAUUUUAUUAGUUUACGCGAACCGAGCUCGACCCGACUAACUAACGGUUUUAUAUUUAGUGAGUUGGUUUCAUAUUUGACGUUUUGAUAUACUUGUCGUAAACUUUAUAUAUAAUGUUUGUUGAAUUGUUGAAUUUGGACAAAAUAUCGACAUUUAUGUUGUCGGGGUUAUUCCAAAAAAACAGAGGAAGCUCUGCCCGAUUUUCGUUAAAACCCGAAUUAUAAAACGUAUCUAAAUCUUAACGACACUUAUCGAAAUCCAAGCUUUCUUAUAAAAUAAAUAUAAAAGUAUAUUUAUUUUAGUGACGUUUUUUUAUAACUUAUAAACUGAAAUUAUAGCAUUUCGACAACACGCAAGUUACAACUUAACGAAACCUGACACUUAUUUAGAUAAGCAUAAUUAUCUAUAGUUAUUCAAACAUCGAUACUUCUUCAUACUUCUUCUGAGUACUUUCAUAAAAUAAAUAUAACGAUUUAUAUUUAUUUCAAACGUCGUUACGUAGUGUAUUUUUAUAAGAUAAAUAUAAUAUUUAUAUUUAUUCCAUUACGUUCUACGAAAGCUACGAAGAGUCGUACAAUUAUUCACCUACGUCUUCUAAUUCACUACGACUAGCACGACUACGUAAAAGAUAUUUAUAUCUAUAUAAAAAUAUAUAUAUCAUAAACCAUUCGGAAUACUAAGUCGUUUUCGAGACUUAGUUUUAUCCCGAUAUUACACGGGAUCAACGAACAAUAGUUUGGUUAUUUCAAACCAAAUAAUAACAUCUUCAGUAGAUCGUUUCAUUAACGACUCGGUAGAGCUCGGACGCCUAGUUUAGCUACGUUUAAUUGGUGGCUUACAAAUUAUUCCUUGAUUAGGAAUGCUUUAGUUACACGCUAGCGAGUCCACAUUCUUGGAAUGACAUCACGGAAUCACGCUAGGCUAGCAUUGCACAGGAAUGUCAAGGUUGCAUUUUUAAAACUAAGGAACGGUUGGAAUAGGAGAACCCACGAGAUUUCGAGGACCUAGCAGGCGUUCACUGUUUAGAAGUCUUAGCCUUUUGCUUUCGCUGUGCAAUGAAGAUACCGGUCCAGUCACGCCAGCUCUGAUAUUUCGGGGUGUGAUAGAUUGGUAUCAGAGCUAUAGGUUUCAGCGAAUUAGGUUUCCGUAGAGAUACCUAGGCUUUAACCUUACUCUCCUCUGGGAACUUAGAUAUCAAGAAUUGAACACGUACAGAACGCCUAAGACUCGAAUAUGGGUUCCAACCGUUGCCAAGAACAAUGAGUCAACUGUUUUGAUUUUAAAUAUAUACAAAUGUUGUGUCGAUACACAGUACACGAAACAAUUACACACACAAUAAGCAAAACUUGGAGGGUUUUGAUAACACGCAUAUAAGACCUUUGGAAAACUCUUGAUAAGAAACUUACGACGAAAUUCAUUAAACGUCCUCACGUAGGAACUGCGAUUAUUAACUCAGCAAACGCUAUUAUCUAUAUUGUCUAUGCUUUUUAGUUACCCGAGCAGGUAAUCUACGUGGAAUGAAACGCUAUUGCGCAACUAUACACGAAACUUAAACUAUACGUCAACGGACUUCGAAGUAUAUCACACACGACUUUCGAGGCAAGGCUUCUGGAAAACUCGAUUGGACACGACAACAACGAUACUAAUUCCCGUCAGUUGGAGAACUACUAAGCGAAAUGCAGUACCUUGCCACAUGAUCCUACAAAUGACACUAGUUACACUGAGGUACGUUAAAACGAGAUUUCAUAACAACCGAUUCUUAGUCUGAAGGGACUCACAAUUGUUGGCGCUGCAAAAGAAGUCACACGUCUUCACAUUCCCCCUAUUUCAUUUAUGGCGGAUAUGCUAUGUUCGACAUUCCAUGGUAAUGUCACCUAACAACUGACCAUCACACGAAGUUCCAGGUAAAGUCCUUAAACUUCUUUUAUUGAAAUUCCGACUUUUGCAUCUAGUGAGUAGAUUUUUUUUACAUCUCUACUCCUCUCAGUGGUCAUUGCAUCACGAUAUUUUCUUUCAUUAUAGCUAACACUUAUUUGGUUCAGUUCUUGAAAAAAAAAAAAAUCAUAUGUUGCACAUGCAUCGUUUGUUACGCAUGUGGAUUCGCUUCGGAUGAUCGUUUUCAUCAAAAAUUUCAAUUAUUAUUUAGCUAUAUCUAAAUUAUUGCUUCGUGAUCUGGAUGAUCCGCAUUCUUGUAAGUGAUGACUCCUUGCUAUCGAGUUAAUGAAUUUCUUGAAAACUUCUUUUCUUUUCGAAAUACGUACAUGGUUUUUUUUGUUGUAACCAUGUUUUGAAACUUUCUUACAUGAAUUCAUUGUUGGAUUGUGUUGCACCCAAGUUCAAUUGAUUGAACUUGCCGUAAUAUAUAUUCGAUUCAGUAUUCCAUAUGACGGAUUGAGGCCAUCAUAUUUGAAAUAAUCCCAACAAGCACUUCAUUUGCUUUAAACCAUAACAUGCUUGUUUGGUCUUCGACUUCAUUGAAUCGUUUCUUUGAUCACGAUCACCUUGUGGUGACAUUUUUCACAAGUUUGAAGCUUGCGCUAACCUCGUUGCUCACCUCAUGUACGGAUUUAAUUAUUUAUUUAUUUGUUUAUUGAUAUUAAAUCCGCUUUGUUGAUUUAUCAUAUUAAAGCAAUCUUAACACAAUCGUGUGUUAAGAUAGUGGUACACAAAUUUAUGUCAUAUUUCGGUGUACCUCUUAACGGUUCAUUCAUCAUCGAGCGAACAUUUUGUGAUAUUCAAUUGCUUUUCAUCUUCGCUCGAAAACAUCGUUUAUUUGUUUCAUUAUCAAUUGAAAAUUCUAUGAGAUUUGCUGGAACGAGCUUUCAAAUUUACUUCGUUGAGCCUUUAUUUGAUUUCAAACACGGUGACAUUUGUUUGGUCACCGCUAUUAUUGAAUUGUUUUAUUCACUACGACACCUUGUGGUGUCGGUAUAAACUUGUAGCUUGUGCUAAUCACGAUCAGCCGUUUCAUGCGUAACUAUUUACGCUUUUCGUUUGACACAUCAUUUAAAUAGUCUUAAUGCAAUUAUGUAUUAAGACGAUGGUACACCAGGUUCGGUUGUAUUUCAUUUCGGCGUAUCCUUGCAACACGUUGAUUUUAUUCAUUUAUUGGUUCAAUAGUUGACAAAUCAUUUCAUGAUUCUAUCCAUUUGAGAUUAUUGUUCUGAGUUUCAACUAUAUAACAACCAACGCAGGAUUCCGUUGGUAGUGAAUUCUAUUGUUUCAAAAUUGAUUUGCAUGUUGUGAACGUUCAUUUUCAAUUCUCUUGAUCGAAAUUCCCCUUUUGUUGAACUCCGUAAACUUAAUCACAUCGGUGAUAGUAUCACUAUGCUUCAUUCAUUUGACAUCUAUUUCUGGAACAAACUCAGUUCAACCAUCGGGUUUUUAUUGAUGCAAAAUGUCUUUACACUCACUAAUCCGAAUAAGUCUUGAUUCGAGUACGCGGUCAUUCACUAUGGUAUUUUUCGGACUUACCUGCGAAACGACACAACUUUGAGGAGAUAACAUAGACUAAAUUUCGAGGACGAAAUUUCUGCAACACGGGGAGAAUGUGACAACCGGUAAUUAACAGCUUCUAAUUACGUGGUUAAGAAACGAUUAAGACGAUAACUGAUAGUGUUUAAGGCACGAGUUAACCCAAUUAGGCUUUUGUAAAUGCCUAGGAACGCCUAAUCGACUUUAUAGUACGCGGAUGAUAAACUGCGGAGAAACAGCGUAACGAUAAUCGAUAACGAAUAGAAACCGUGCGAAAUAUUGACAACGCCGACAAAUACAAAUUUUAUAUGCGUAUUUUAUACUCAUAAGUUUAGUUUUGUGAAUUUAUUGUGCUUUCGUACGUCACAAAGCGCGAACGCGAACAAAAAACGCGACUGCAGGAACGCACCGGCAACGAAACAGAAGCAUCAAACAUGCGUAUUACUUCCAAAACUGAAAUUUUAUGAUAUAACUAGCUUCGUAAUUAAAUUUUAAUAUCCGUAGUAGAAACCAUAUCAAAAAACGGAUUAAAAUGGCAAUGGCGCGAUUUCAUGCGAUUUUUACAGUAAUCAGUGAACGAACACGACAAACGGCUACCGGUACUACUUUACGUAUUUUUUUUAAAACUAAAAUUUAUAAAUUACGAAGUUUCGCGGAGCUUGGGUUUUGAUAACGGUCUCGUAGGAAUUACGGGCCACUUAAACACGGGGAUUGGGCUUGUGGGCCUUGGGCCCAAGCCCAAAGCCCAUUAAACUAACCCUAGUAUAUAUUUGUAGCUACAACCUUAUCCUUCAUUUGAAACCACAAAACUAAAUCACGCACACAAUCUGCUCUCUUUCAUCUUCAAGUUGAAGAAACCCUAAUCCUCUAAUUCCCUUUCUCUUGAUUAUGCCUACAAUUGCACACAGACAAAUUAUGUCUGAUCUAUCAUCUACACCUAAAUAAAAACCUCAUCACCAUCAUCCUUACAAAACCUUCUUUUUCUUUGCCACUUUCUCUCGAAUUACAUACAGACAAACACACACAUACUCUACUAAAACUCCCUUCACCAUCUUUAAAAAAAAAGAUAUUAACUCCACUCUCACAUACCCUCUCUCUCUCGUGAUGCUCCUGGUCGACGAUGAUCGGAGCUUGUUAACCGCCGGCUGUCGGCGGUGUUACCAGCCGACAACACCCUCCCUCCCUCCUGUUGAUUUUCUCCGGCGAACACUCAGGUCACUCCGGUGACUAACCCACUUGUUCCGGCUCCCCACUCGAAGCAGAAACAACUGCCACCACCCUCGUUGGUGGCACACGGCGACGGUACACGAAGAGAUAGAGAGAAAGGGGCAAGCGGUGGAGGUUGACGACGACUUUAAUUUCUUUCGACAUGCUCACUGCUGGAAAAGGUGAUGUCUUCAGUGGUGGUGUUCACGGAAUAACAAAACCGCCACGCGGUGGCAGCCGGUGACGGCAGUGGUGGUGGUGGUUAUAUUGAUUCAGGUGACUCGGUUUCAGUUCGGGUCACGGGUCGAGACGCGGGUUCGAGUCAGCGGGUCAAACCCGGUCGACUCGGGUCAAACCGAGUAGACUCGGGUCAACAACAGGCGCAACGGAUCAGGGCGUGGUUAGUUUGGGCAGAUUUCUCCAAUUUGAGCUUCGCGACACGAACGGUUCGAAAUUAAAGUCACAUUUUUGGUUCGGGUCCCAGUCAACAUCAUGUCAACGUGAGGUCAAACGCAGUCGACUCGAAGACCCGGUAACAAAUUUAAUCAAAGCGAGAAUGCUUUAGUUACACGCUAGCGAGUCCACAUUCUUGGAAUGACAUCACGGAAUCACGCUAGGCUAGCAUUGCACAGGAAUGUCAAGGUUGCAUUUUUAAAACUAAGGAACGGUUGGAAUAGGAGAACCCACGAGAUUUCGAGGACCUAGCAGGCGUUCACUGUUUAGAAGUCUUAGCCUUUUGCUUCCGCUGUGCAAUGAAGAUACCGGUCCAGUCACGCCAGCUCUGAUAUUUCGGGGUGUGACAGCUAAUGCUUCCAGAUUCAACUCCGGUGAGUUCAAACUCAAAUUCGUUUCGAAUAAUAUUCAGAUCAGAAUCUCACGAGCGUUAUACGCUGAAAUCACCGAACGAUUUUUCUUCGAAUCACGUAACCGCUUCUAUCAAAUUGUAAAACAACAUCAAUAUCGAGCAUCGGCGAUACCAGCACCGUGUAGAAUAUUGUAAAACAACAUCAAUAUGGAAAUUAAACAGUUCUGAUUUGGGAUGAGCAAAUCAGUUCCGGUACCGAAUUACCGGACCAGGCACUUUUUUGGUACCGAUUCGGUAUCGACUUUUGACAUUUUCGGUACCGGUUCGGUACCAGUGUUUACCGGUUUUUACCCUCAAAUACCGGUACCGUACUGAUAUCGAACCGAUACCGAUACCGAACCGGGUAUAUUCGGUACCGGUACCCACUUUUGGGAAUUUUUGGUACCGGUUCUUUCGGUACCAGACGAUACCGAGCUCGUCCCUAGUUAUAUGUAUCUGAAUCCGGUAUUUUGCAACAGAAGGCAUUAAACGGAAUCUUGCCAUUUUCCCAUUCUUACCCUCGUAAAGUUUUAUUGCAUGGCAUAAUGUAAGGGGUAUUUUAGUCAAUUUAGUUGAGCAAGUUGUUGCGAUAUGCCCCAUAUGAUUUUGGCGGGAAACAUAUUUCAAGUACACGUAGGAUAAUAAUGUUUUAUCUUUUUUAUAUCAUUUUUGACAAUUAGAAUGAUAGAUUUUAUGAAAUAUAAAAUAAUCAAGUAA